GUGCUCUCUUUGGCAGCACACACACUAAAAUUGCAAAGAUACAAAGAAAACUAUUAUGACUCCUGAGCAAGUAUUACUUGCAAAUUUAUGAACUGUUCCUUAUUUUU
ensembl:snRNA U6 U6 spliceosomal RNA